rnacentral:lncRNA from 1 species
GAUUUGAUGUGUAGAUUGAUUCGAAUGAGAUAUUUUUCUUUUGCAGAAGACUCGAUCUAUCAUAGCUCAUUCGUUGCCGAGCUAAACUCCUUGCUACUAGAUCCGUCUCUCUUUUAAAUUGAAAAAGUCUAGAUUGUUUGAGAUUGGUUGGCCAUAUACGAGCUGUAGUUGGUUGUCUAAGGAUGAGGUAAACUAGGAUC